ACAAUUUAAUGCUACAUCUUC
rnacentral:siRNA from 1 species